GCAGUGUUGAGUCUAUGGCAGUGCUGAGUCUAUGGGUAGCAGUGCUGAGUCUAUGGGUAGCAGUGUUGAGUCUAUGGGUGACAGUGUUGAGUCUAUGGCAGUGUCGAGUCUAUGGGUGACAGUGCUGAGUCUAUGGGUGGCAGUGUUGAGUCUAUGGCAGUGUUGAGUCUAUGGGUGACAGUGCUGAGUCUAUGAGUAGCGGUGCUGAGUCUAUGGGUGACAGUGUUGAGUCUAUGGGUGGCAGUGUUGAGUCUAUGGGUGGCAGUGCUGAGUCUAUGGGUAGCAGUGCUGAGUCUAUGGGUAGCAGUGCUGAGUCUAUGGCAGUGCUGAGUCUAUGGGUAGCGGUGCUGAGUCUAUGGCAGUGCUGAGUCUAUGUGUAGCAGUGCUGAG